GCCGCCGUAGCACAAAGGUAGUGCGUUGCCUUCCUACACGUUCUUGCUAUUACGUCCCCCUGGCAGGCAAAGGUUGUGGGUUCGAGCCCCAUCGGCGGUU